GAAGAGAGAGGCCUGAAAAGAAAAAGGGAAAGGAGAAGAAAAAAAAAGGGAAGAGAAGAGAAGAGAGGAGUGAUCAAAUGUGAAUGAGAAGAGAAAGAGGAGUGGCUGAGCAGAAAAGAGAAGGGGAGCCAAGAACGACCGCCGCAAGGGAAGAAAAGGAAAGAAGAGAGAGGUGGAGACGGGAGAGUGGUGGAAGCUGAGCCAAAAAGAAGAAAGACGAAGAAGAAUCGGCCGAGAUAUCAUGCAACAAUGGAGAUCGACGCAAGGAAGGUAAGAAGAUUUUAUUUUAUUUUUUUUCAUUUUUCU
rnacentral:lncRNA from 1 species